rnacentral:rRNA from 1 species
GACGAACGCUGGCGGCGUGCUUAACACAUGCAAGUCGAACGAUGAACCGGUUUCGGCCGGGGAUUAGUGGCGAACGGGUGAGUAACACGUGGGCAAUCUGCCCUGCACUCUGGGAUAAGCCCGGGAAACUGGGUCUAAUACCGGAUACGACACUCCGAGGCAUCUUGGGGUGUGGAAAGUUCCGGCGGUGCAGGAUGAGCCCGCGGCCUAUCAGCUUGUAGGUGGGGUAAUGGCCUACCAAGGCGACGACGGGUAGCCGGCCUGAGAGGGUGACCGGCCACACUGGGACUGAGACACGGCCCAGACUCCUACGGGAGGCAGCAGUGGGGAAUAUUGCACAAUGGGCGAAAGCCUGAUGCAGCGACGCCGCGUGAGGGAUGACGGCCUUCGGGUUGUAAACCUCUUUCAGCAGGGAAGAAGCGAAAGUGACGGUACCUGCAGAAGAAGCACCGGCUAACUACGUG